rnacentral:rRNA from 1 species
AGUGAACGCAUGCGGCGUGCCUAAUACAUGCAAGUCGAAAGGAGCGGCGCAGGGGUGAGUAAUGUAGAGCUAAUCUGCCCUCCACUAGAGGACAACAGCUGGAUACACCUGCUAAUACUCCAUAGUGUAGGAUGAGGAUAUAUUGUAUCAGCUAGUUGGUGAGGUAAUGGCGCACCAAGGCUAUGACGCAUAACUGGUCAGAGAGGAUGAUCAGUCACACUGGAACUGGGGCACGGGCCAGGCUCCUACGGGAGGCGGCAGGAGGGAGUAUUGCUCAAUGGGGGAAACCCUGAAGCAGCAACGCCGCGUGGAGGAUGACACUUUUCGGAGCGUAAACGCCUUUUGUUAGGGAAGCGGUAACUAACGAAUAAGCACCGGCUAACUCCGUGCCAGCAGCCGCGGUAAUAC